UUUUAAAAUUUUCAUCAAUUUGUAUUGUUAAAAAUUGAUGUGACUAAUGGAAUAGCUAUAUAGUGACACAUGGUACGCCAUAUAUACCUCAUUUUACAUACAUAGACCAAUUUUUAACAAUAGAAAUGAAUGGAAUUUUUAACA
rfam:Gossypium raimondii Chr12_contig_861, whole genome shotgun sequence.